GACCCCCCAAACCCUUAGAGACCCCAUUUUCAUUCCCUCUCAUCUCUCUCACUCAAACCCUAGCCGUCCCAAGACCCUUUGCCGGCGACGCCACUUCAAACAACCCCAAUCUCCCUCGAAUUCACACCCCACAGUCCUCACAUCCUCCUAAUCCCUAAUAUCCCAUCAAUUUUCCCAAAAAACCACCCAAACUUCACAAAUUUUAGAUCUAAAAAACGGUCAGAAAACCUAGCUUCAUUCCCUUUGGAUUUCUUCAUUGAUUCUCAACUCUUUUGACUUGAAACUGACAUUGAUCAAUUGCUCUAGUCAAGAGCAAUUGAUUAAUGUAAGUUUUAUCUCAUUUCGGAACCAUCAGAAUCCGGUCGAACCUCGUUGAAAUCGCUUCAAUUGAAUCGUCUUUCCUUCCAUAGGUCAAUAAUGGUGGAUCUGGUCACAGGUUGGUUUGAUUUGCCAUUUAAGGCUUGAGUGAAGUUUCAUCUCUGCCGGCUCUUUGUUGUUUGGGUUUGUUAUUCAUUAAGCAUCAGUUAGAGUUGUGAUCAUAGUGAAGGUUAACCAAACAUGUAUUCUUUAAUGGAGGAUGGAUGUUGUAAUUUUAAGCAUAAGAUGAUGUAUUCCAUAAUUGACAGUGUAUUUGCUUAGGUGACUGUUCAUGUAAAUUACAAAUGUUUAAAUUGAUAGAAGUUCAUUUGUUCAAACCA